rnacentral:tRNA from 1 species
AAGCUUUUAGCUCAAUUGAUUAGAGCAACCGGCUCAUAACCGGGAAGACCAAGGUUUAAAUCCUUGAAAGC